CAAUAGCGUAUAUUAAAGUUGUUGCAGUUAAAAAGCUCGUAGUUGGAUUUCUGGUCGGAAGCUCCUGUCCUCUGAUGAGCGUACAAGUGCGUCCUACCAUCCUUCUGUUAACCUUUAAGGCUUUCGCGGCUUUCUAGGGGCUCAGAUAUUUUACCUUGAGAAAAUUAGAGUGUUUCAGGCAGGCUAGCGCCGGAAUACAUUAGCAUGGAAUAAUGGAAUAGGACUUUUGCCUCUUCUGUUGGUCAUGAGGCUCGAGUAAUGAUUAAUAGGGAUAGUUGGGGGCAUUAGUACUUAACUGUCAGAGGUGAAAUUCUCGGAUUUGUUAAAGACUAACUUAUGCGAAAGCAUUUGCUAAGGAUGUUUUCAUUAA
rnacentral:rRNA from 1 species